ACUAACACAUGAAGGAAUAGUACUGUAUGUUCAUGUAGUAUCAUGAUUCUUGAAAGUAAUAUGAAAAUAACAAGUUAACUAAAGACAAAGUUACUCACUAAGGGAUAGCAUUUUACAGACUGAUGCUCAAUCUCACACCCAGCAUUCCUUAAAAUUGCAG